rnacentral:tRNA from 1 species
GCAGUAGUGGAUCAGUAGUAGAAUUCUCGCCUUCCAUGCAGGAGACCCAGGUUCAAUUCCUGGCCAGUGCG